GGGCCCGCACAAGCGGUGGAGCAUGUGGUUCAAUUCGACGCAACGCGAAGAACCUUACCGGGGUUUGAACCGUACGGGACAGCUGCAGAGACGUAGUUUUCCUUCGGGACCCGUAUAGAGGUGCUGCAUGGCUGUCGUCAGCUCGUGUCGUGAGAUGUUGGGUUAAGUCCCGCAACGAGCGCAACCCUUGCCUCCUGUUGCUAACAGGUAAAGCUGAGCACUCUGGAGAGACUGCCGGUGAUAAACCGGAGGAAGGUGGGGAUGACGUCAAGUCCUCAUGGCCUUUAUGCCCCGGGCUACACACGUGCUACAAUGGCUGGUACAAAGGGUUGCAAAACCGCGAGGUGGAGCUAAUCCCAGAAAACCAGUCCCAGUUCGGAUUGCAGUCUGCAACUCGACUGCAUGAAGUUGGAAUCGCUAGUAAUCGCGGAUCAGCACGCCGCGGUGAAUACGUUCCCGGGCCUU
rnacentral:rRNA from 1 species